rnacentral:lncRNA from 1 species
GUCUCUAUCCUUGCCUUCUCAAAUCUCAGCCGACGGAUACAUCUAUUCAUCACCACCACCACCCAAAAAGUACCCUCCGGUGUCUCCUCCUUAUCACUACCCUUCACCACCACCACCACCAGUGCACUCACCACCACCUCCUUAUCACUACCCUUCCCCACCACCUCCUAAGAAGGCUCCAUCUCCUUCUUACCAUUACUCUUCUCCACCACCACCUCCAAAGAAGACUUACAAGUACCAUUCUCCUCCUCCACCAGUGCAUGUUGCCCCUCCAAAGGCACCAUACCAUUAUGCAUCACCCCCUCCUCCUCCUAAGAAGCCAUACAAGUACCCUUCUCCACCACCUCCGGUGGUUGUUGUAAGCCCACCAAAGGCUCCUUACCAUUAUCCAUCACCACCACCCCCUCCCAAGAAGUCUCCAGCAUACCAUUACCAUUCUCCUCCACCACCUAAGGCUCCUUACCACUAUGCAUCCCCUCCACCACCUCCUAAGAAACCAUACAAGUACUCAUCACCCCCUCCACCAGUGCAUGUUUACCCUCACCCUCACCCA